rnacentral:rRNA from 1 species
UACGUAGGGUGCGAGCGUUGUCCGGAAUUAUUGGGCGUAAAGAGCUUGUAGGCGGUUUGUCGCGUCUGCUGUGAAAAUCCGGGGCUCAACCCGGGACUUGCAGUGGGUACGGGCAGACUAGAGUGUGGUAGGGGAGACUGGAAUUCCUGGUGUAGCGGUGGAAUGCGCAGAUAUCAGGAGGAACACCGAAGGCGAAGGCAGGUCGCUGGGCCACUACUGACGCUGAGAAGCGAAAGCGUGGGGAGCGAACAGG